rnacentral:rRNA from 1 species
UUUUUUGGGUUCGGUGAAAAGUCAGAUACCCGUAGCGGCGAGGGUCAGUCCUAAGUCAAGCAUCGAUGAUAAUGAGCGGGAGCUUACCCUCACACUAUAGGACAGUGCGAUUUCUGAGCUGGCAUAGGAGUAGAGAUAGGGCACAGGGGGGAGUGUCCACUUGUGUAGUGUGUGCAAAUGACGUAGAUAUAGGGAAGAGACACCGGUGCGAUAAAGAACCCAGCUGGGUCUUCACUGACUGUGAGGUCAGAAAGCUAGGGGAGGGGAAAGGGAUUAGAUUCGAUCUGUAGUGUAGUCCCGUAAACGAUGGAUUGUAGGCUAUUUGUGUAUCGUCCCGGGCAGUGGUGUAGCUAACGCGUUAAGUAGUCCGCCUGGGGAGGAGUCUGGCAAGAAGAAAAAUCAAAGGAGGAGUCGGGGGGGCGCACAAGCGGCGGAGUAUGAGGUUUAUUUAUUUGCUGCGCGAAGAACCUUCUCAGGUCUUCUCAUCUCCGGAAGCUCCUCGAAGGGAGGGGGGGGCUUCGGGAAGGGAACCACAGGUCAGGCAUGGCAGUCGUCAGGUCAUGUCGUGAGAUGAGGGGUUAAGUUAAGCACCGAACCCAGCCCUCGUUUUUACUUUACAUCAUUCAAAAGGGCACUCUAGGGAGACUGCCGGUGACAAACCGGAGGAAGGUGGGGAUGACGUCAAGUCAUCAUGCCCCUUACGUCUAGGGCUUCACACGUCAUACAAUGCUCGGUACAGAGGGCUGCCAACUCGCGAGGGGGAGCUAAUCCCAUAAACCCGGUCUCAGUUCAGAUUGCAGUCUGCAACUCGCCUGCAUGAAGUAGGAAUCGCUAGUAAUCGCAGGUCCAGGCAUUUCCGCCUGUAAUGGCU